rnacentral:rRNA from 1 species
AGCGAACGUUAGCGGCAGGCCUAACACAUGCAAGUCGCACGAGAAUUCGGCUUCGGCCGAUAGUAAAGUGGCGGACGGGUGAGUAACACGUGGAUAAUCUGCCCUUCGGCGGGGGACAACAGUCCGAAAGGAUUGCUAAUACCGCAUACGUCAACGAGGUCUUCGGACCUUGUUGGGAAAGGUGGCCUCCUCAUGAAAGCCACCACCGAAGGAUGAGUCCGCGUCCCAUCAGCUAGUUGGCGGUGUAAUGGACCACCAAGGCUAAGACGGGUAGCUGGUCUGAGAGGAUGAUCAGCCACACUGGGACUGAGACACGGCCCAGACUCCUACGGGAGGCAGCAGUGGGGAAUAUUGGGCAAUGGGCGCAAGCCUGACCCAGCCAUGCCGCGUGAGUGAUGAAGGCCUUCGGGUCGUAAGGCUCUGUGGGGAGGGAAGAAACAGCUUGUGGCUAACAUCCACGAGCCCUGACGGUACCUCCUUAGCAAGCACCGGCUAACUCCGUGCCAGCCGCCGCGGUAA